CUGGUUGCCUCAGUUUGAAGCCUGCUCUGGGAAGAGGAGAAGCAGACAUGACAAGGAGAGCCUGAAAGGAGCCCCUCUUUAUCACAUCGAGCCCAGUGGAAAAGAAGGCCACUGAACGCUUUCCUGUGGUGAGUGCUCCAUGCCACAUUGAUAGCAUCCAAAACUGUUUAUCUUUACACUCCUGCCAGCGUGAGCAAUCCUCUGGUACAGAAGACAUCAAAUUAUUUUCUUCAGCAUCACAUUGCACAGACUACGGAAAGAGUCUUUAUACCUGCCACUGGCAUUGGAUUAGCUCUACAAUACCAAGAUGAACUAUAAGCAGUUGUGUGCAUUUCCCAGCUGGAAUUGCCUUCAGUAUCCUGCUCCUCUGGCCAGCAGCCUCGAUGCUACAGGGAAUAGGGCAAAAGUUCCUGAUUUGCAGGGCUACUGGCUUGAGCCCCAGAAUACCUGACAACA